rnacentral:rRNA from 1 species
UGACAAGAAAUAACAAUACGGGGCUUAAAGUCUUGUAAUUGGAAUGAUGGGAAUUUAAACCUCUUCCAGAGUAUCAAUUGGAGGGCAAGUCUGGUGCCAGCAGCCGCGGUAAUUCCAGCUCCAAUAGCGUAUAUUAAAAUUGUUGCAGUUAAAAAGCUCGUAGUUGAAUUUCUGCUGCAUUGCUUGUGUCCCUCUGGGGUCUGUGCAUGUGGCUUUUUUCGGACGGAGUUUCUUUGUCUGAAUGUUUACUUUGAGAAAAUUAGAGUGCUCAAAGCAGGCUUUCGCCUUGAAUAGUUUAGCAUGGAAUAAUAAAGUAGGACUUUGGUUCUAUUUUGUUGGUUUUAGGUACCAAAGUAAUGGUUAAUA